AUUGAACGCUGGCGGCAGGCCUAACACAUGCAAGUCGAACGAGUGGCGGACGGGUGAGUAAUGUAUGGGGAACUGCCCGAUAGAGGGGGAUAACUACUGGAAACGGUGGCUAAUACCGCAUACUAUCGGAUGAACCCAUAUGGGAUUAGCUUGUUGGUGGGGUAAAGGAUCACAAAGGCGACGAUCUCUAGCUGGUCUGCGAGGAUGAGCAGCCACACUGGAACUUCGACACGGCCCAGAAUCCUACGGGAGGCAGCAGUGGGGAAUAUUGCACCAUGGGCGCAAGCCUGAUGCAGCCAUGCCGCGUGUAUGAAGAAGGCCUUAGGGUUGUAAAGUACUUUCAGCGGGGAGGCGUUACCCGCAGAAGAAGCACCGGCUAACUCCGUGCCAGCAGCCGCGGUAAUUC
rnacentral:rRNA from 1 species